AACACUCAAAUAGCCCUACGGGGAGGCCCACUCAGCAAGGCACAGAGGCCUCCUGCCGUAGAGCCAUGGAAGGAGAUCCACUGGCCUCAGUCAAGCCUUCAGAUGACUGCAGCCUUGCCGAUGUCCUAACUACAAAAUCUCGAGGGACCGUGAGUCGGAAUCACCCAGGGAGUGAUGCUAACUUCAUCAUGAGAAUGUGAAGACCUUUUGAAACACCAAGCACCUGACCCAAGCCCGGCCACAGAAUACGCUCUUCAAAUUGGGGUCCGCAGACCACCAGCAGCACCAGGGUCCCCUGGGAGCUUGGAAGACCUGCGGUGUCUGGCCCCACCCCAGACCUGUGGCAGCAGACUCUGCAGCGUCACAAGAGUCUCAGCUUCCUGCAGCUGCCCCAAGGGGGACCGCUCCUGGCUGGACAGAUGCAGCAAAAGACAUCAAGACACUGUGCUGAGAGCCUAGUGAGCUCCCACCAGCUUGAGAGAUGAGGGCAACCGAAGCUCAAAGAAUCAAUGGGACCCAGCUGGAUGAGCCCACGUUUGGAACAAAACAGGAGUCUUCUAUCCCUUGCUCAGCUCUCUUCCCACUGUCCCGUGUUGAUUCUGCUCAUCUACGUCACAAGGCAUGUAACACAGAGAAGCAGCCACGAGAAAGGAUUCUAGACAAGUAAUAACUGCAGUACACCCUGGUUUGCUUUAAAUGUGCAGCUAUGAUGUUCUGGGUGGCUUUGAAUGUUAGUAAGGUCUAAGUUCUUCUUUUUCUUUCUUUUUUUUUUUUAAGAUUUUAUUUAUUUAUU